UCACUUCUACCACCUAGUGGUAACUACCUCCUAAGAAUCCACCGUCCAUCUUCCCUAAUUAGAUCCGAGCGUGGUUGCUUUUUUUCUCUCAGAUCGGUAGCGAAUCUUAACGGGUUAGGCUAGCUUCCACCCGACCCGUUUGAUUAUUAAUUAUUUUCAUUAGUUUAAUUGAUGGUUAUCCAAGGCGUGCUGAUCGCCCGAGCUUAUCCCAGAAAAUUUGAAUGCAUCUAUAUCUCUUCGUACGUACUUAUCCGGAUACUAACCAACUUAGCCAUCUUUUCUACGUAAAAAUAGUUGUGUUAGUAUAUUCUUGUUACGAACUAAAACAGUUCUUUUUGCUGGACCUCCCGUUCUGCCUGGGCGACACCUCCGUCAACGGCUGUAGACGGCGGAUCGGCGCUGUCGCCGUGGGUCACGCCGGCAGGACAGCACAUCCGGUGCAGUGAAACACGGCUGGCCGACGUAAUUCUUCAGUACCACAAACGUGAGGUAACUAAGUAUAAUCAAAUAUACUUUUCUUUAUUGUUUGUUAGUAUGAUUAGCGAGAUCAUAGGUUGAUCAACUUCCAUCUCAAAAAGAAUUCAUGUGGCCGAAACCGUAGAACUCACAGCAUCAUACUAACAUGCAACUGUUUCUUGGUCAUAGAUAUGGGCAAGCCGAGCGGCAGUGGCAGCAAAUCCAAUUCUGAUUCAAGCGAGCUAUCUCUGCAGUGCGCACUAAAAACCGAGAUCAAAUAUCCGGCCAAAAACGUUCAGGUGGAUCUCGCUCAAAGAAAAGGAGUUCCAUAAAGAGGAAA
rnacentral:lncRNA from 1 species